GAUCAACGCUGGCGGCGUGCAUAACACAUGCAAGUCGAACGAUGAAGCUUAAAAGAUUUCUUCGGAAUGAACUUAAUUGGAUUAGUGGCGGACGGGUGAGUAACGCGUGAGUAACCUGCCUUGUACAAGGGGAUAGCCGUUGGAAACGACGAAUAAUACCCUAUGACAUCAAAUAAUCGCAUGAUAAUUUGAUCAAAGAUUUAUCGGUAUAAGAUGGACUCGCGUCUGAUUAGCUAGUUGGUAGAGUAAAAGCCUACCAAGGCAACGAUCAGUAGCCGGCUUGAGAGAGUGUACGGCCACAUUGGGACUGAGACACGGCCCAGACUCCUACGGGAGGCAGCAGUGGGGAAUUUUGCACACUGGGGGAAACCCUGAUGCAGCGACGCCGCGUGAUUUAGAAGGCCUUCGGGUUGUAAAAAUCUUUUGUAUGGGAAGAAAAUGACAGUACCAUACGAAUAAGGACCGGCUAAUUACGUG
rnacentral:rRNA from 1 species